CGGUAAUACGGAGGGUGCGAGCGUUAAUCGGAAUUACUGGGCGUAAAGCGUACGUAGGCGGUUUGGUCAGUCUGAUGUGAAAGCCCCGGGCUUAACCUGGGAACGGCAUUGGAUACUGCCAGGCUAGAGUACAGGAGAGGAGAGUGGAAUUUCCAGUGUAGCGGUGAAAUGCGUAGAGAUUGGAAGGAACACCAGUGGCGAAGGCGGCUCUCUGGACUGAUACUGACGCUGAGGUACGAAAGCGUGGGGAGCAAACAGGAUUAGAUACCCUGGUAGUCCACGCCCUAAACGAUGUCAACUAACCGUUGGAUCCAAUUAAGGAUGCAGUGGUGCAGCUAACGCACUAAGUUGACCGCCUGGGGAGUACGGCCGCAAGGUUAAAACUCAAAUGAAUUGACGGGGGCCCGCACAAGCGGUGGAGCAUGUGGUUUAAUUCGAUGCAACGCGAAGAACCUUACCUGCUCUUGACAUCCUGCGAACGUUCGAGAGAUCGAAUGGUGCCUUCGGGAACGCAGUGACAGGUGCUGCAUGGCUGCCGUCAGCUCGUGUUGUGAAAUGUUGGGUUAAGUCCCGUAACGAGCGCAACCCUUAUCCUUAGUUGCCAUCAAUUUGGUUGGGUACUCUAAGGAGACUGCCGGUGAUAAACCGGAGGAAGGUGGGGACGACGUCAAGUCAUCAUCAUGCCUGUAUGAGCACCCUACACACGUGCUACAAUGAUGCCCGGUCCAGAGGGCGGCGAACUUGCGAGAGUCAGCGAAUCCCUUAAAGCCGGUCCCAGUCCGGAUCGCAGUCUGCAACUCGACUGCGUGAAGAUGGAAUCGCUAGUAAUCGCGGAUCAGAAUGCCGCGGUGAAUACGUUCCCGGG
rnacentral:rRNA from 1 species